rnacentral:rRNA from 1 species
UAGGGAAUCUUCCACAAUGGACGCAAGUCUGAUGGAGCAACGCCGCGUGAGUGAAGAAGGUUUUCGGACCGUAAAGCUCUGUUGUUGGUGAAGAAGGAUAGGGGUAGUAACUGGCCUUUAUUUGACGGUAAUCAACCAGAAAGUCACGGCUAACUACGUGCCAGCAGCCGCGGUAAUACGUAGGUGGCAAGCGUUGUCCGGAUUUAUUGGGCGUAAAGCGAGCGCAGGCGGAAGAAUAAGUCUGAUGUGAAAGCCCUCGGCUUAACCGAGGAAUUGCAUCGGAAACUGUUUUCUUGAGUGCAGAAGAGGAGAGUAGAACUCCAUGUGUAGCGGUGGAAUGCGUAGAUAUAUGGAAGAAUACCAGUGGCGAAGGCGGCUCUCUGGUCUGCAACUGACGCUGAGGCUCGAAAGCAUGGGUAGCGAACAGGAUUAGAUACCCUGGUAGUCCAUGCCGUAAACGAUGAGUGCUAAGUGUUGGGAGGCUUCCGCCUCUCAGUGCUGCAGCUAACGCAUUAAGCACUCCGCCUGGGGAGUACGACCGCAAGGUUGAAAC